rnacentral:rRNA from 1 species
UACGUAGGGGGCAAGCGUUGUCCGGAUUUAUUGGGCGUAAAGAGCGUGUAGGCGGCUUGGUAGGUCCGCUGUGAAAACUCGAGGCUCAACCUCGAGAUGUCGGCGGAAACCACUUGGCUAGAGUCCGGAAGAGGAGAGUGGAAUUCCUGGUGUAGCGGUGAAAUGCGCAGAUAUCAGGAGGAACACCCGUGGCGAAAGCGGCUCUCUGGGACGGUACUGACGCUGAGACGCGAAAGCGUGGGGAGCGAACAGG